rnacentral:rRNA from 1 species
UACAGAGGUCUCAAGCGUUGUUCGGAUUCAUUGGGCGUAAAGGGUGCGUAGGCGGCGCGGUAAGUCGGGUGUGAAAUUUCGGAGCUUAACUCCGAAACUGCAUUCGAUACUGCCGUGCUUGAGGACUGGAGAGGAGACUGGAAUUUACGGUGUAGCAGUGAAAUGCGUAGAGAUCGUAAGGAAGACCAGUGGCGAAGGCGGGUCUCUGGGCCGGAACUGACGCUGAGGAGCGAAAGCGUGGGUAGCAAACAGG